UUUCUCUGAUUUUUUUAAAAUUUAAAUCUAUGACCACUUUCACUGAAAAAAGUAAUCAAACCUAGAUCUAGAGGUUAUCUCUCGGUAACUUCGAAUCUUCGGCGACGCUCGAGUUUCCCGGGCAAUGUUGAAGAAGAUAAAGGAUUCAGUCUGGUGACCGGUGGCGUGGAACUUCGACGGUGGCGGCGACAGUAGGGUUAUGUAUCUGCCGUUAAAAACUCAACGGUCGGGCUCGUCGACCGCCGCAUCUACAGUUGCUAGUUGUCGCAUCUGUCUGCCUAUGAAGCCUAAACUUUUUAGCCCACUGAAUGCGAUUUCGACCUCUGUUUCAUCGGGAAAUGCCUUAAUCUCCCCAAAUCGAUUAUGGACUAUUCGAUUUCUUCAUCAUUCGAUCUCAUGGUCCACCAUCCAAUGGAGCUGAAACUAAACUAUGUUGGUUGACUUGUAAUUCUCUUGUGGCCCAGCAUUCAAAUUGGUCGUUUGUCCAUCGAAGCUAUGCCACAUUAGCCUUUUUGCUAAGUUUUUAAU